UAACAUUAUACAUUUUUUUGUCUCCACAGAUAGAUUUUCCAAAAUGUGGCGUUCCAUCUGUAGAUGUUUACCUUUCUUUCGAAAGAAACACUGCGUUGGAACAUCCAAUGAAAUCGUUUUGAAUUAUAUUGAGAUCGUCGACAUUCUUGCUUUGGUAAGUAUCAAUAUGAACUAAACAAAUCUCCUCUCAUUUCUCCUUUGAAUAAUAAUCAGACUCGGCCCUGGAUCUAUAAUCACGGCCAC